rnacentral:piRNA from 1 species
UUAUUUUAGCUUUAAGAAUAA